UCUCGCGCGCUUUCCUGAUUGCCGGGAUAACGCCAGAGUUGGGAGCCUGACAGCUCCAGUUUGCGACGGGCUCAAUCGCGGCGUUAUUGUUGUUACCACCAACUAGACACUCUUGAAGGGGCAACCAACUUGAACGCUGAUGUCAUAGCCACUUUAGCAGAGUAAGGAGAUCUGACCGUUCUCUCCUCCUACCGAGAAUCCUCAAAGUUCUUUCCCGGACCAGCAGCCGAAUUUGCCCUCAAAAUCGCUACCGUACGGUAGCAGCAAUCCCGUGCAUGGUUCAUGUUAAUUAUCGGCUACUCGAGGUUAACAAAACCUAUAGGGAACAGGUACUUAUCCUCGUUGCUAGAAGCUGAUCACUGGUUCCUACGGCUUGAAUGCGAGUUAUGACGAUCUAAAAACAGGACAGGAGCGUGCUGUUUAGAUGUAUGGACAACAGGUGGUCCAGUCCAAUGAGUACAAAUGCUCAAUCGCCAAGUUUUACUAUCUGAUAUAUGCCUGAGAAACUUAUCUAUUGUCAAAUAGUUAUUCCCUUACCCUGGCAUCUCCAUCCCCAUAAGUUUUAAAUCCUUUGCGAAAUGGAAUUGGCCCAGUGAACUUCCAGACUGACCCAAAUGGAAAAAAGUUUCAAACUCAUAGCGAAGCACCGACCGAGCAUUUCUAGAGGUCAGCCUGUUCUGUUAAAUACGUAAUAACUGCACCACAAAGGCGCAACAUCGAUGCGUAAACAACAAAUAAAAGGAGCAACAAACAGACAACGCAAGCAGAAAGUAGAACAAAAAAAUGGUGUCACAAACUCCAAUCCGGUCUUUCUAAUUCGAAAUUCCUCAAGACCGCACCAUCCUCCAUUGUCUGCUCCCCAGCAACGUGAAACCCACAUUUCAACAAUACCUUAAAGCUCCCCAGAUUUUCCUCAUUGCAUAUCGCAUAUAAUUUGUCUCGUUUCCCCCAUUUCCCUCUCCUCGGCAAGCUCCACCAUGCUUUUAUCAUGGAACUGGUCGCCUCUGUCGCGUAUCCUUUACCCCACUCAUCUGGGUGAAUGAGAUACCCCAGAGUCGGCACAGGGACCAGCUCAUUUAUACCCACAGUGCCAAUAAUACGUCCAGUAGGAUCGUCAGCAAGCAGAAUGACGAAUUGGUAGCGGAGUCCUACAGCACCAGGUGGGGCGGUGAAUGUCUUUCGGGCCAUCCAUUGUCUGGUGGCGGAGACAUCUGCAUCAGGUAUAAAGGGCCAACUGCCCGGGACGUCAGCCAGGCUCUAAGCAAGCGCCAUAUAACUGUUUACGAGACCAAGGGAAAGGGGAAACAUUCAAGAAAGUAAAGAGAACUGAAUUAAAUAGAACAAAAAUGACACCAAGGCAAGUCACGUCUCACAGUGUCCUCACAGUAUCCUCUCUCGAGCGUAUGGCAAACAGGCCCUCUGCAUCUGAGUCACGGAGCGCACGGAGUAGCAAACGCGGGGAAGAAAUGAUUAAUGAGGU
rnacentral:sRNA from 2 species